CUGGUCGCACAGCAGCUCGAUCUCGGCCGAGUAGAAGAGGUCCCCCGCUCCCUGCUGGGGGCCGCCGGGGGGACCCCUCUGCCAGGGCAGGGAUCCACCGGCUGAUCUGAGACCUUCUUCAGUGCAGUGUGAAUACUUUUGUACUGUGAACUCAGCGUGGGUCUGACAAGUGCUGCAGCCAAAACCAGCUAAUCAGAGGAGCACCAAAAGAGCCAAUUACUGCUCAGGCUGCACUUUCAGCCACUCAUGCAUGUGCCACAGUUAUUCAUUCACUUCCUCUGCUUAGAUAGUCUUUGAGACAGGCUCAUGAUUUUCCCAGGCAGGAACUCUGCCUUUUUUUUCACACAUUUUUACAGAUAUUUAAAUCAAAGAUUUCUCCCCCGGGCUAUGUAAUUUUCUUUGCUGUUUCUGUGGCAAUGUGGGUGAUUGAAACCUUUUAAUAAAACAUUGCUCUGCUCUGUCUCUCUUUGCCUCUGAAGUAUUGACUGAGUUGAGUGUUAGUCCAGGUAUCAAACAGGAGAGCACGGUGCUCAGUCUUGCUGCCUUUCUGAUGGAUGUAGGUGAUCUGAAACUUCAGCCCAGCUGUCUUUUAUUUAUAUAUCUGCAGUGAUUCCUUUGUAGUCCAGGGUACAAAAUAUCAAACCCAGAUUUUUUUCCCCCCGCCUACCAGUUUUUAAACUGGGUGACCUACAAAGAUGAGUAUUUGGCUGUGCUAGUGUCCCCACAGGAAGAGAUGUUUUUGUUAGCUUCUUCUAUCUAUGCUUCUCUAAUUUGAGUCAUUCUUCUCAUAGUUUGACAUUUGGUCCAUUGUAUUUAACUAUUUUUGUACCAAUACUGGACUGACUGAUUCCUAUUUUUUUUU